rnacentral:rRNA from 1 species
GACGAACGCUGGCGGCGUGCCUAAUACAUGCAAGUAGAACGCUGAAGGAGGAGCUUGCUUCUCUGGAUGAGUUGCGAACGGGUGAGUAACGCGUAGGUAACCUGCCUGGUAGCGGGGGAUAACUAUUGGAAACGAUAGCUAACACCGCAUAAGAGUAGAUGUUGCAUGACAUUUGCUUAAAAGGUGCAAUUGCAUCACUACCAGAUGGACCUGCGUUGUAUUAGCUAGUUGGUGGGGUAACGGCUCACCAAGGCGACGAUACAUAGCCGACCUGAGAGGGUGAUCGGCCACACUGGGACUGAGACACGGCCCAGACUCCUACGGGAGGCAGCAGUAGGGAAUCUUCGGCAAUGGACGGAAGUCUGACCGAGCAACGCCGCGUGAGUGAAGAAGGUUUUCGGAUCGUAAAGCUCUGUUGUAAGAGAAGAACGAGUGUGAGAGUGGAAAGUUCACGCUGUGACGGUAUCUUACCAGAAAGGGACGGCUAACUACGUG